AGACCUCAUUUAAGGAUUGGCUGUGGAAGCAAGAAUGUCUUGCCUGGAGAUCUUUGCCUACCCAAGGAUUGUGUGGGCCUUCCUAAGAGUGCCAGGGAAAUUUAACCUACCCAAGCAAGGGAAAUCUAAUCCCCAAGAUCUGUGCAGUGCACCUUUUUACCCAGACACCUAGCUGAAUUGCCAAGACCCACUUUCCAGUACUUCUCAACACACUUCAUUAAUCUGAGCUUGCGUCCUGGAAUUGUGGCU